GCCUUGUGACUAAAUACAAUUACUGUUGUAUUUAAAAUUAAAUUAUUAACAGUUGUGAUUGUAUUUUUCCACACUGGCCCAACCCUAUUUAGUCACCAUGUUUUUUGCUGUGUGUUGCAGGUGUAUGUAGAGUUUAAUAGGGUAGUCACCAAGAAUCUACAGGUGGACUUCUUUGAGGCCCUGGACCGCUACACACCACGCUUUGUCGAGAUCGUCAAGGCAAAGAAAGGAAGUGUGGGACAGAACCUGACAGAGUUGGUGCAACAAAUUGAUGCAGGGAAAUGUGCAGAGACCCUGCUCCGAGGCCUCCCUGUUCUACUUGGUGAUGACCCCAGCGACUUCUACAACACCUGCUUUGACUUCAUCUGGCACGGCAUCAUCUCGUCCUGCCACAGGUUCAACCUGACCACCCACUGCCAGCGCAUCCAAGAGCUCCGUAGCUACAGCCAAACCUGCCACCCCUAAAACCUCCACCACUGCCAAGCCUGCUGCCUCCAAACCAACCUCCACUACACCCUCUGGUGGCAAACUUUAACC